ACCGGCCACACUGGGACUGAGACACGGCCCAGACUCCUACGGGAGGCAGCAGUGGGGAAUAUUGCACAAUGGGCGAAAGCCUGAUGCAGCGACGCCGCGUGAGGGAUGACGGCCUUCGGGUUGUAAACCUCUUUCAGCAGGGAAGAAGCGAGAGUGACGGUACCUGCAGAAGAAGCGCCGGCUAACUACGUGCCAGCAGCCGCGGUAAUACGUAGGGCGCAAGCGUUGUCCGGAAUUAUUGGGCGUAAAGAGCUCGUAGGCGGCUUGUCACGUCGGAUGUGAAAGCCCGGGGCUUAACUCCGGGUCUGCAGUCGAUACGGGCAGGCUAGAGUUCGGUAGGGGAGAUCGGAAUUCCUGGUGUAGCGGUGAAAUGCGCAGAUAUCAGGAGGAACACCGGUGGCGAAGGCGGAUCUCUGGGCCGAUACUGACGCUGAGGAGCGAAAGCGUGGGGAGCGAACAGGAUUAGAUACCCUGGUAGUCCACGCCGUAAACGUUGGGAACUA
rnacentral:rRNA from 1 species